rnacentral:misc_RNA from 1 species
CUAGCAGAUUGAGCAAGCCAAUUAGCACAUUCAUUCAUACAUACAAAUAAAAUUAUCUUAAAUAUUAGUUAACUAGUAUCAGCAAAACAAAGUUAAUAAAGUUUUCAGUGCAACAACUAAUCAAAGUUAAUGACUUUUGUGACUUGAAUCAGGCUCGGAGAAAUGUCUUUAGGAAUUACAAAAAAAAGUGGACAUUAUUUCUUCACUCCCAGAACCUCUAUAACCUGUAGUUAGUCUUGCACCACUACUAGAGCUGCUGCUAGAGCUUCCACCAGCAUCAAUAUUCCCCACAGCACGCCCUCCACUGCUCCUAGGAACAUCCAUAACUCUAAAACUACCAACAUCUUCAAGACCAAUGCCUUCACUUCUUCCUGUACCAUCAAUAUCAGUAUCCCCUCCUGUAUCACCAAUAUUAGCAUCUACUGUUCCUUGGAUUGAUUCCUCACGUGUCAUAUAAAAAAACUGAAAAUAGUUUUUCAGUAUAAAAAUGAAGCCACCACAGCAGCAUGCUAUUAUGCCACUUUUGCCACCUCGAGCAAUGCCUAUACUCAAAUAUU